rnacentral:rRNA from 1 species
UACGUAGGGGGCAAGCGUUAUCCGGAUUUAUUGGGUUUAAAGGGUGCGUAGGCGGCAUUUCAAGUCAGCGGUAAAAGCCCGGGGCUCAACCCCGGCGAGCCGUUGAAACUGUGUGGCUGGAGACGGAGAGAAGUAGGCGGAAUGCGCGGUGUAGCGGUGAAAUGCAUAGAUAUCGCGCAGAACUCCGAUCGCGAAGGCAGCCUACCGGCUCCGGUCUGACGCUGAGGCACGAAAGCGUGGGGAGCAAA